AUAGGGGGAUCCGAGUGCGAGGGCAUAUCGUCCUCGCUUUUUUGUACCGUAGGGUGGACACCAACAAGGGCUGGGCAAGAACGGUGCCAGCCGCCGCGGUAAUACCGGCAGCCCGAGUGAUGGCCGAUCUUAUUGGGCCUAAAGCGUCCGUAGCUGGCUGCGCAAGUCCGUCGGGAAAUCCACUCGCCCAACGAGUGGGCGUCCGACGGAAACUGCACAGCUUGGGACCGGAAGGCUCGAAGGGUACGUUCGGGGGAGGAGUGAAAUCCCAUAAUCCCGCACGGACCACCGAUGGCGAAAGCACUUCGAGAAAACGGAUCCGACAGUGAGGGACGAAAGCCAGGGUCUCCAACCGGAUUAAAUACCCGGGUAGUCCUGGCCGUAAACAAUGUUCGCUAGGUAUGACACAGACUACGCGUCUCUGUUGUGCCGUAGGGAAGCCGAGAAGCGAACCGCCUGGGAAGUACGUCUGCAAGGAUGAAACUCAAAAA
rnacentral:rRNA from 1 species